CCUACGGGUGGCUGCAGUGGGGAAUAUUGCACAAUGGGGGAAACCCUGAUGCAGCGACGCCGCGUGAGUGAAGAAGUAUUUCGGUAUGUAAAGCUCUAUCAGCAGGGAAGAUAAUGACAGUACCUGACUAAGAAGCCCCGGCUAACUACGUGCCAGCAGCCGCGGUAAUACGUAGGGGGCAAGCGUUAUCCGGAUUUACUGGGUGUAAAGGGAGCGUAGACGGAGUGGCAAGUCUGAAGUGAAAACCCUGGGCUCAACCUGGGGACUGCUUUGGAAACUGUUAAUCUAGAGUGUUGGAGAGGUAAGUGGAAUUCCUGGUGUAGCGGUGAAAUGCGUAGAUAUCAGGAAGAACACCGGAGGCGAAGGCGGCUUACUGGACAAUAACUGACGUUGAGGCUCGAAAGCGUGGGGAUCAAACAGGAUUAGAUACCCGGGUAGUC
rnacentral:rRNA from 1 species